GUACGGAAGGCAGCAGUGGGGAAUAUUGGACAAUGGGGGAAACCCUGAUCCAGCCAUGCCGCGUGUGUGAAGAAGGCCUUUUGGUUGUAAAGCACUUUAAGCGAGGAGGAGGCUCCUAUAGAUAAUACCUAUAGAGAGUGGACGUUACUCGCAGAAUAAGCACCGGCUAACUCUGUGCCAGCAGCCGCGGUAAUACAGAGGGUGCAAGCGUUAAUCGGAUUUACUGGGCGUAAAGCGUACGUAGGUGGUCUUUUAAGUCGGAUGUGAAAUCCCUGAGCUUAACUUAGGAAUUGCAUUCGAUACUGGGAGACUAGAGUAUGGGAGAGGAUGGUAGAAUUCCAGGUGUAGCGGUGAAAUGCGUAGAGAUCUGGAGGAAUACCGAUGGCGAAGGCAGCCAUCUGGCCUAAUACUGACACUGAGGUACGAAAGCAUGGGGAGCAAACAGGAUUAGAUACCCCAGUAGUCCC
rnacentral:rRNA from 1 species